rnacentral:tRNA from 1 species
GGACCUUUAGCGCAAUUGGUCAGAGCAACCGGCUCAUAACCGGUAGGCUGUAGGUUCAAGUCCUACAAGGUCCACCA